rnacentral:rRNA from 1 species
UACGUAGGGUGCAAGCGUUAAUCGGAAUUACUGGGCGUAAAGCGUGCGCAGGCGGUUGUGCAAGACCGAUGUGAAAUCCCCGGGCUUAACCUGGGAAUGGCAUUGGUGACUGCACGGCUAGAGUGUGUCAGAGGGGGGUAGAAUUCCACGUGUAGCAGUGAAAUGCGUAGAGAUGUGGAGGAAUACCGAUGGCGAAGGCAGCCCCCCUGGGAUAACACUGACGCUCAUGGCACGAAAAGCGUGGGGAGCGAACAGG